AUGGCGGCUGUGUUGCCGUUUCUCUCCGAGGAAGUAGUUCAUCUCCUGCAGCAACAAUGAGUUCAGUUCAGGCGUUGAGAGAGUUUAUCAACCAGCGUCUUGCUGCUGCUGCUGGAGAAAUAUUCACCGUGUUUCAAAAAACUAUCGUCCGUUUCGAGGAGGAGAUUUAUCGACAAGGAAAUCUUCUGGAAAUCUCAAGUCAAGUUACACAGAGCAGAGAGUCCUCAGCAACACAUUGGUAACCAGAAGACGAGCUCCAGUCUGGAGCAGGAGGAACAUGAAGCUCCACACAUUGAAGAGGAGGAUCUUGUUGAGAUGACUGUUGCUGAUGGCGAAAGAGACGAUUCCCACCAGUCUGUGAGAGACUUGACCACCCAGAGACUAACUGCUGCUGCUGAGGAAAUAUUCACCCUAUAUCAACAAACUGUGGCUCAGUACGAGGAGGAGAUUGGUCGUCAACGCAGCAUGCAGGAAAUCAAUUGGAAUCCUCAAAUCAAGUUACACAGAGCAGAGCUCCAACAGGACCAUGACUGCAGAGAGGAGCAGCUCUUUGAACAGGAAGCAAACUACAGUCCAGAGCAGGACGAACCAGAACCUCCACAGAUCAAAGAAGAAGAAGAGUCAGAACCUCCACACAUCAAACUAGAAGAACCAGAACCUCCACAGAUCAAAGAAGAAGAAGAGUCAGAACCUCCACACAUCAAACUAGA